AAAAAGAAGAAGAGAAGAAAUGAAGAUAUCCACUGUUGAUUUCAAUUUUUUCUUUCAUUUUCUCUGUUGAUUUUCUCAGCAUCUAAACAAUGGAAAGUUUAGCCCUCUACGCCGCGGCUUCCUCUGGUUUCUCUUCAACCACUUCUUUUUUCCUAAUCUCUUCUCUCAUCUCCUCAUUUUUGGCAGCCAGCUUUUUCUAUUCCCUGCAAUCCAUUCCAGCCCUAAACUCUCGGCCAAACAAAAGUUGUACCUCGUGAGGGAGUUUGGUGCGAUGCAGAUAACAGCGGUUCUUGGGUUGCUUGUUAUAACAAACUCUUGUUUUGGGAUGUGCCAAGGUAGUAACACAAAUGCAGGAGGAGAUUUUGAUUUUUGGAACAGGAUUUCGGAGGAGCGCUUAGCAGAAUGGGAAUUAGAGGCAAUGUUGGCGGUGUUGUUAGAACGACAAAGGUCUUCGAGGCGACGCUUCUCGAUUUGCUUGGCUUACUCAGAAGCGUCAGUCAUCUAGUGGAUUAAUAUAUGGAGAUAACUCAAAAGAUUGAAAAUUCAACAAGAUUAAAAUAACAAAAAAAUGAAAGGAAAAAAAAUAUGGUACUUUUAUUGUGUUUUUUUUUUUUUGGUAUUUUGUGCUCUAUUUGGUUACUGAGAAACUGGGAGGGGAAAAUAUAGUGGAAUUAGAAUAGUGUAAAAAGUGAAAGGAGGAAAACCUGAAAGGUUGAGAGAAUGCUAGAAGAACGAGGGCUUUUUUGUUUUUUUUUUUAAUUUGAUUAAAGAUGAUUAAGGAAAGGAACCUAAUAGAUCUAAUGUGGUAAGUUAAUUGACCAUGCCAACUAGUUAAUGAGUCACUCACUUGCUCCGUUAAGCUUGUAAUAAAAAAUAUUAAUAGGUAGUUGAUUUGUCACUUUUUGUAAUGUUAAUAACUAGUUUAUUAUUUUUUUAAAGUUUAGUGAGUGAGUUGAAAGUUAAGUAAUUAUUUUAUUGUUAAAAUUAAAAUUAGGUGACUAUUGGUAUAAUUUAUCCUAAUUAUAAAUUAAAUCGGAGACUUCUUGAAUAUAGGCAGAUGCUGAAUUUGGUGUGGCC
rnacentral:lncRNA from 1 species